ACACAUCACUUCCUGUUCCUGCGUUGCCUUUCAUGAGUUUCACCUGUGUCUGUUGUCACCUGCUCGUUUCCUCUUGUUCCCUGAGUUAUUUACCCAUCUAUGUUUUUCACUUUCAGCCCAUGUGUGAUAUCUGGAUACCUCUUCCCCGUGUUUCAAAGCCGUCUUCGGACGCUCUCGCCUGGAUCAGAGGAGUUUCUACCGAAUGUCCAAACACGGCGCCUUCGGAGCCUGGCGAUAAAGCGGACUUUUAGAAUUCACGAAAUUUACAAGCUAGUGAACAGGAGUCUUCCUCCAUCUCGACUUCGCACCUCCAGCCUCUGACACUGGGCCUCCACAGCCUCAGGUCCUGCAGAGAGAUUUUUACAGACUGAAACUGCUGGAAUCGAUUUUAAACUCCUACAAACUCUUCUCUGCUCCUCAAAGAUAUAUAUUUAUAUUAUUAUUUUAUAUAUUUAUAUUUUUGCCGUGACAAAAUGUUCAAUAUUUCACGAAUGUUUCCCAGACUUAACCAACUUUUAAAUUUUUAUAAUUCAUCAGCAUUAGAGGACAGAUCUACACCUACAAAGUUUGAUUAAUCUGAACAUUCUAACGUUAAUAGUUGUAAAUGAUGCUGUUUAAAAUAAAAAGUCUGUUUGUGUUUCUGGCCGAGAAAAAUCGGCCUCAGGAAACUCCGUCUGGAAAAGUAAGACUAUUAGUGCUGUGAAAAACUUUUAAGUGUUUGCUCUGCAAAUGAAAAGUGCCCAACAAAGCUGGAUCAGCCAUGCUUUUACUCCAAAUGGAGACAAAUCAGUAAGCUCUUCUACUGCGGAGGAAUAUUAAUUCUUGUUCACAUGACUUUUUCUUUGUGUUUUUCCAGAUGUGCACGCAGUAACUUUAAACUUCUCCCUUUCCUCCUCUCGCGACCAUUAAUCCACAGGCUGUGACGGCUCGGCAACUUAAUUAUUCUCGACCGGGUUUCAUCUCAUUCCAGAUAAAAUGCACUUGCUUCAAAAGCGGGCGCUGCUCAUUUUUGGAGGAAGGCCGAAGCGUGACCGAGACGUGUCACAUCAUCAGUCUCGUCAAAUCAGCGUCAACCCUCAACUUAUGUUGGCUCAGAUCGAUGGCUGUUCAUGUUAAUACGCAGGUCAUCUGCUCUCCAGUGGUCAUUAAUCAUGUAAACGACUGCAGUAAUUUGGUCUGACUGAUGUUUAAACUUAACGAUAAUAGGAAGAAUCCAUUGCCCUUUCAAUAAGUGUAUCAAAGGUUAGCGUGAAAGUCUACAGAGUGUAUUUUACCAGCCAGAGAGGAUUACAGAGAAUUUAAAUUGUUGUGCUACAGUUGAUUCAAGUGGGUAAUAAAUAGGAUUGAUUGGGUCAUUUACAGCCAGGACUGGAUUAAUGUAACAUUUUUAUAGAGGUAAAAAAAGGAGCAAGUAAAUAAACCUGUGUCCCAAAUGA